AAGACUGCUGCAGAUGUGUGUGUGCUGUAUGAUGUCAACAGGAAGCAGAAACACUGAGUUGAUUCUCAUCUAACCAUUUCAGCUUCUAUUUUGUUUGGGUGUGCAUGAUGCUGUGUUGGCAAAGGUUGGUUGAUUCGUUAAGAUGACAUGGGCAGUCUGCUAGCGCAGAUUUCUUGCUGAUCAUAUGGCACCCUGUUUGGCGUUGUGGUUCUUGUCUUUAAAUGGAAGAAUCUUGUUAUCCAGAAUCAUUGAUACUAUUAGGUCAGCGGUAGAUUUACUUUCUCAUUUCCAAGCAGAAUAAAACAUUAAUCAGUGGAUUAUUUUGUUUUAUCCUUGAUGAAAAUGGAAGAGCAACUUAUCAUGAAAUAGAAAUGAUUUUUGUUUUUUCAACCCCUUUUUUACACUUUUCACUCACUGUUGACUUUGUCAACUGCACAUGACUUUGUCAAAGUGAAGAGAGAGAAAUAUCUCUGAGUUCCACAAACACGCUGAGCUCCCUGCCCUCCCCGCUAAUGGCUUUGAGGUGUAUGUUGGCAGCUUCCCUUUAGAAGCUUCCAAAGAGUAUGCAAGGAGAAUUUGCGACACUAUUGAAGAGGUCACCUAGGUAAGAAUGAUGAAAGGAAAAGAUCCUAGCGAGAGUAGGUAUGCAUUUGUGACCUUCAGAAAUAAAGACUUGGCUGUGAUAGUCAUAAAGGAACUCACAAUUCAAAAUUGAAGGAUAAAGCGGUGAAGUGCUCGCUUUCUCAAGCAAAGCACGUGUUGGUUAUAAUUCUAGAAGCUGGGGAGACGAUGAUAUAAGGAAGGCUGUGACAAAAAUUGGUUUCUGGGUAGAUCUGCAAAAGCCACAACCGUAGCUUUGCAAUUCGUCGAGUCUAUGCUGAGUAUUCGAGGGAGAAGAUCUAAAUUUAAGCUGGUAAAAAAUGCUCCAACUGUAAAGUGGAAGACCCUAAGCAUCCAAAUACUCCGUCUUCCUCUCAGAGGACCUCCUCCUGCUGGGAUGGCAAUGUUUCUCAUGCUUUUGCCCGAUUGAUCGCAAAUAUCAAAAGGCAACAGCCUGCGGUGCAACCAAUCACUCCUCCAGAACCGAGGGGUGGAAGGAGUGACAAUGACGGUGGAUCCAGGUACGGCAGCAGUGACAGAUAUGGCAGCAAUGACAGGAGUCGUGGGUCGAGUGGAGGAAGGCAUAGUGGUUAUUUGGUCUUAUCCUUGAUGAAAAUGGAAUAGAAAUGACUUGUUUUUCCAACCCCUUCUUUACACUUUUCAUCGAUUGUUGACUUUGUCAGCUGCUCAUGACUUUGUCAAAGUGGAGAGAGAAAAAAAUCUCUUAGCUCCAUAAACACACUGAGCUCGUUGCCCUCCCCCUAGUGGCUUUGAAGUGUAUGUCAUCAGCAUCCCUUUAGAAGCUUCCAGAGAGGAUGCAAGGAGAUUUUGUGAGACUGUUGGAAAGGCCACGAAGAUGGAAGGAAAAAAUCCUGGCGGGAGUACAUUUGUGACCUUCAGAAAUGAAGACUUGGCUGUGAAAGCCAUAGAGGAAACUCAUAAUUCAAGAUCGAAGGAUAAAUCAAUGAAGUGCUCGCAUUCUCAAGCAAAGCACUCGUUGGUAAUAAGCUGGGGAGAAGUCAGUGACAGAAAUUGGGUUCCUGGGUGGAACUGCGAAAGGACCGAUAUAACUCCAGCUGCAACCGUAGCUUUGCAAUUUGUUGAGUAUUACAACAGUGCCUGGUCUGCGUAUUCUAAGGCAUAAGAUCUAGAUUUAAGCUGGACAAAAAUGCUUGUAAAGUGGAAGACCCUAAGUAUUCAGAUACUCUCUCUUCCUCUCAGCAACAGCCUGUGACGCAACCAAUCACUCCUCCACAACGAGGGGUGGAAGGAGCGACAAUGACUCGAUGGAUCCAGGUAUGACACAGUGAUGGAUACAGCAGCAAUGUCAGGAGUUGUGGAGGAACGCAUAGCUGUGGUGAUAAUGUCUGACCGUAACCGCGGCCUUGAUCAAAGGUGUCGCCCAUAUUGAUAGAUCACCUAUUCAUUACCGCCGUCAACUAUCUAUUCAUUACCUUUUAGCACUAGCUUGUAACCUCUGUAGGUGACAUGUGUAAUCAGACUCGAUGAACCUUGAUAAUUGUACAUUGUUUUCGUGGAGAGAUUUGCUAAAUAAACAAAGCCUUUGGGUUUACCACUCA